CCUACGGGCGGCAGCAGUGAGGAAUAUUGGUCAAUGGGCGGAAGCCUGAACCAGCCAAGUAGCGUGCAGGAUGACGGCCCUACGGGUUGUAAACUGCUUUUAUACGGGAAUAACGCGCCUUACGUGUAGGUCUUUGCAUGUACCUUAUGAAUAAGGACCGGCUAAUUCCGUGCCAGCAGCCGCGGUAAUACGGAGGGUCCGGGCGUUAUCCGGAUUUAUUGGGUUUAAAGGGAGCGUAGGCGGGAUGUCAAGCCUGCUGUGAAAUGUCCGGGCUCAACCCGGGCCUUGCAGCGCGAACUGGCGGGCUUGAGUCCGGGGAAGGUAGGCGGAAUUCGUCGUGUAGCGGUGAAAUGCUUAGAUAUGACGAAGAACCCCGAUUGCGAAGGCAGCUUGCUGCAGCGGAACUGACGCUGAUGCUCGAAAGCGCGGGUAUCGAACAGGAUUAGAUACCCCUGUAGUC
rnacentral:rRNA from 1 species